GUUGACAAUAAAUCUGCAAGAAGACCAAAAUACCCUUCGAGUAGGAACGGGAUCCUUCAAGGUGGUAAGGGAGGUUCGGCAGAGAUUAGUCAGAAGAUCCUGGAAUUGUGGGAAGAACAUUCUCAAAGCAACUCAAAGUAACCUUGCGACUAAGGGUGUCGAAUGUCGAAGAUGCGACAAGGCACCGAGAUGAUUCGCUAGAGGAAAA
rnacentral:lncRNA from 1 species